GCCUGGGUGGCUCAGUCGGUUAAGCGACCGACUUCGACUCAGGUCAUGAUCUCACGGUUCGUGGGUUCGAGCCCCAUGUCAGGCU
rfam:Felis catus isolate Cinnamon breed Abyssinian chromosome C1, whole genome shotgun sequence.